UCUGAUUAUUCUUUUAUAGUUGAUUCUAUUUUCAGUUGGUUUUGGGUGUGAUCCAGCAGUGCAUAUAUGAUGUACUGUUUAUAUCAGUAUGCUAUAUAUGUAGUGCUGCAAAAGAAUCCAGCAGUGCAUAUAUGGCGUACUGAAAAAGAAUUGUUUUGCUUUUGUUAUAUUCAUUACUUGUUUUGAUAUGCAAUUGAUUUUUAGUUUUUGAAUCCGUCUAGUGGAUAUAGGUCGAAGAAGAAUGAUUUGUCUGUUGGUAGUUUAGUUCGGGUUAGGCGUAGGAAUGGAUCGUGGUGGCCGUGGCGUAUAAUGGGAUUUCCUGAAUUUCCUGAUGCGUCCUUUCUCUGAAGGAUCAAACUCCGGUGAAGUUCUUGGGACGAUAUAAUGCAAACAUGGGGCUCAACAAGACGUGCUAGUUGAUAUGGUUGCAUAAAGUCAUUGUUACAAGCAGAGAUUGGUACACCUUAUCAACACAACUACGCAUUUUGGAGUCAUGUUACAUAAAAGAAGAGGAGAAGAGGCAUAAUUCAUCAUUUUGGCUACGCUAGGUGCUAAUGGAUUUGAAGCCAAGGCAGUCACACUUAUUAAUCGGGGUAGCCACCUGCUGUGAUAAGGGCCAGUCUUAUACGCAACAACAACAAAGCUAGGUCCUAAUACACUCGACCAGUUCCGCUCAUUUCAUCUCAGUCUACAACCAAAAUACGAAGAGCUACUGCCAAGAGUUCACCGUUGUCCAACAAAGUCGACCAGCAGCUAGUCACGGUUCUUGUGGUCGUGUUUGAGGAGGAAAUGCGUGAUCCAGAAGCUCAUAACAACACGACAAAGUGAGAGAUUAAUACCGAGAAACCAGUUGGGAAAGAGUUGUUGUCUGUCAUUGAUUGGAAUAAAGAUCAAGGGAGAUCAGGACUGGGAUCUCGAAGCUGAGAAGGAAAUAAAGAUUGGGUAUUCAAUUUUGGAGAGUUUGGUUUGAUUUUGAAGUCGUUUUGCUGCCAAGAGAAGGCAGUGAAGAGAAGACAAGUUGCUGCCGUUAUGAUGAUAAGUGAUGAUGAAUGUUUCUGAUUUUUGAAUGAAUUAGAAAUGUGGAUGCUUGUGUAAUUUAAUUAUUGUCGCAGGGAAGGAGAUUGAAAGAGUUUAGGAUUCAACAUCAAGCUCAGAACUGUAUAUAAGCAAACUGCACACAGGUUGUUUGUAGAAAGGCCGGAAAGAGCAUUUCUUCACAUUUUCAAGAUCAGCUGCGACCAGCUUAGUAUGUCAGAUGUAGGAGAUGUUAAAAAUGCAGACAAGGGAUUGUGCAACCAGUAUUCACAAAUCCAAGUAAGUCUUUUGCAGUUAUCAGCCAUGGUGACAUUGGUUGUACGAGGGUUCGACCAGACUUUCGACAAGAGUUUGAGGCGAGUAAUCAGUGAAGAGGGCAACGGUUCUUCCCAAGUAUUGUGUAGCUGCUAGUCUUGGCUCGAGGCUGUGCACAAGGUCUGUCUGGCAAAGGCAAAAGCUUGAUUUAGAACUUGAGAUAAACAUGGAAACAUUGGUCGAAUAUUCAAAGAUUGGGUUUGUAAAACUCGGACGAAAAACCAGUUAAGAGAGUGAAGCUUCUUGCCGUUGAUUUUGGUAGUUAACAGUGCAAAAGAUAUGUACUCGAAUUUAUAAGUAUAUAAGCUAUGUGUACUCAAAUUUGUAAGCAGUGCAGCGGAUAUGUACUCAAUAUAAUAAGGGUGUAGACACUCACAUGUUUGGUAGUAGAGGGUAUUAUGGUCAUUUCAAUAU